UGCAGUUAGCCACGUCAGCAGAGUGGUACUAUAUAAACAGAAGCAAGAAGUCUCUCAUUUAGAAUCAUCGAAAAAGAUCGAUAAAGAGUUUGUUAGAGUUUCUUCUUCCUUUUCUCUGUGGUUUCUUGGGAAUUUUCUAGGAAAAUCUCCUCAUUGUUGUUCUCGAGUGUUGUUUCUAAUUCUAAGCUCUUCACACUGUGAGAGAGUUGGAUUGGUGUUUUAUGAACGUCAAUUCAAUUGCUCUACUAUUCAUCAUCUUCACCAAUACAGUUUAUCUGUAUCAGUGGUCUCAGAGCCAGUCGAGUUCAGCGAUUGAAGAGAUGCCGAUGACUAAGCCUACAGUUUCGGAAUCGCACCGCAUCAGAUCCAGAGAAUGAAAACAGUGAUUCUGUCGAUUGUAAUUUGCUUGAGAAACCAAUUCAAUUCAUGAAACAGAAAUAAAUGGAGGAGUUUAAAACAGAGAGGUACCAAACUCUCUUCUGGAACCAAGCCCUAGGGUAGAGAAAAUUGCAAUCUGCCUUUGCUUAAGAACAUUAAGUAGCUCACAGCCUCUAUUCAUUGAUUCACAUAAACUUGGUGUUUGGACUGCUCCUAAAGUAGACCAAAUAUACAUUUUAGAGAGAGAGAGGAACUGAUUCAGAAGGCAGUAGUAGAACGUGUUGAGUUUGAUGCACAUCAGUUGUCUGAUGAAAUGUUGCUGAGAGUUUGUUUUAAGAUGAAUCAGAGAGGAGGUAUCAAAAAGACUGGACUUUCAAGUACAAGCUUAAGGAACCAAGGCAGGCAGCAUUGGUUUUCACAGAGAAGAAAGAGCUUCAGGUGGUUGUUUACUGACACUAUCAAUGAUGGUUUUGGAUGGGAUAACUUUUGUGGUUUGUUUUCAUCAAGAGUUGCCAAGUGUUUGUGCUACUGAUGAGAAUAUGGUUCCUUCUCACUGAAAACGUGUGGCCAAACACCAUUGCACAAGUCAUGAGCCAUUGGACUGUGAUUCCAUUGGAAAUGGUUUUAUAGCUUCUCGUACAAGGUUGCAGCAAAACAGAGAAGUCCUUUCAUGGUGGGCUAACUUAGCGAGAGACAUAGAUGAAGUGUUACAGCCAUAUAGUUCUGGGAUCUUUCUGUGCCUGCAUUGCAGCAAACUUUGAUCACUGGAACCCAAGAGUCUUAUACAGUUUGAUUUGAUGAGUUUCAGGUCAGUAAAGAGAAUGGGUUCUGGAGCUUAGCUUCAAAAUGUAGAGGCUAAAUAGAAGAUCACCAUCAUCUGAAUCAAGACACUUAUUUGUGCGUGUUGUUUACGUUCAUACAAACUGUCUAUGAGAGGGAACAUGGUGCCGUGAGAGUGUGAUUGCUUUGUGCAGACAAACUUCUGCAGUGUCAGUGUUGAAAUAUGCUGAUAUUUGUGACGUGUUGCAAUGGUUAGUUUUGUUCCAAGCCUAUGGUGUUCAUAAACUCAAUGAAAGAAGGGUCAUGAAGUAGAAGGGAGAAUGAUGUACAUAGACAAUUUCUAUGAGUUUCAUCCUAACCUUGUGGUCAAGGUUUUCAGUUUAUCUGUAUCAUCGAGCUAGCUACACCACCAGACCCAGAGACCCUUGUAUUGAUCUGAACCGAGCCGAGCCAAACAACACAAGCGUAGUGGCUACAACCGUCUUUGCAACCAGUGAUCCCAGACCUUGCUUCAAAAUGUCUAGCAAUUUCACCACCACCUUCUCACUGGAGUCCCGAACCCGUGUUAAAAUCAGGGUGGCUUCCACUGGCACGACCGUAUAGAAGCUGAGACAUAUCAAUAAAGAUUUUUUACUUAAGCUUUGUUCUUUUGGUCGAAGCUGCCGCAGCUUCAUGCGUCAAAGAAAAUACAAAGAAAACAGUUUAUUUUACGGGAUCCUCAUUUAAUUGAUGUCCCUGCGUUUUGUAAAAAACAAUCGCGUCCUCCAUUUUUUCCGACGCUAGAUUUCACAGCGUCACAAAUCUCUAUAAAUUUUAGGUUGCGGUACUGUUAACGUCUAUUCUAUAAACACUGAAAGUAAAGAUUCAUUCACGAUAAAAGCCGUGUCCUUUGUAUUUUUUUUGACGCCGGACGCUGCGGCAGCAUCUACCAAAAGAACACGGCUUUAACAUGGAGAGGUGUGUUUUUAGAAUGGAUCAAUACAAAAGUUGGAUUUAACUAAAGUGCUGUUCGUUUGGUUGCCGUAGGUCCAGCGUCUGCGUAUGCGGCAAUGAUUUUUGCAGCAAGUUUGUUCGUUUCAUCAACGUCGAUACGUGCGUCUGUGUCUAAACGCCAACACCUGCGUCUAAACGCCAACACCUGCGUCAGACGCCGAGAAAAUCCCGCGGUCGCGACUAAUAACCAGCGUCUACUUAACCUAUUUACUAUUUUACCCUUAACCUAAUUCACUAAUUACAAAAAAACCUAAGCUAUUUUGACGCAGACACGGCUCUCUUCUCCAUUGACGCCCCUGCCUUAUCUUCUCCAUCUCUCUCCAUCGAUCUCAGACCCAUCUCUCUCGAUCUCAAACCCAACCCAGCUCUCUCUCUCUCUCUCGAACCCAGCUCUCUCUCGAUCUCUCGAUCUCUUGAAACUCAUCUCAUCUCACUCUCUCAAUAAGCAUUGAGGAGCAGCAACAUUGAUACAACAUUUUCUCCAAAAGAAAAAAAAACAUUGAUACAAACAACAUCUGGAGA